GCACAUCAAUAAGCGGAGGAAAAGAAACGGGGUAACAAGGAUUCCCCUGGUAACUGCGAGUGAAGCGGGAAAAGCUCAAAUUUAAAAUCUGGUGGUCUUUGGCCAUCCGAGUUGUAAUCUAGAGAAGUGUUAUCCGCGCUGGACCGUGUACAAGUCCCCUGGAAUGGGGCGUCAUAGAGGGUGAGAAUCCCGUCUUUGACACGGACUACCAGGGCUUUGUGAUGCACUCUCAAAGAGUCGAGUUGUUUGGGAAUGCAGCUCAAAAUGGGUGGUAAAUUCCAUCUAAAGCUAAAUAUUGGCGAGAGACCGAUAGCGAACAAGUACCGUGAGGGAAAGAUGAAAAGAACUUUGGAAAGAGAGUUAAACAGUACGUGAAAUUGUUGAAAGGGAAACGCUCCUGAAGUCAGUCGCGUCUGCCAGGGAUCAACCUUACUUUUGUGAGGCGUACUUCUUCUGGUUGAUGGGUCAUGGCAUCAGUUUUGGUCGCUGGAUAAAGGUCAGAGAAAUGUGGCACCUUCGGGUGUGUUAUAGUCUUUGAUUCAGAUAACACCGUGGCUGGGACUGAGGAACUCCCAGCGCCGCAAGGCUGUCCUAGGAUGCUGCA
rnacentral:rRNA from 1 species